rnacentral:rRNA from 1 species
CCUACGGAGGCCGCAGUCGGGAAUCUUCCGCAAUGGGCGAAAGCCUGACGGAGCAACGCCGCGUGAGUGAAGAAGGAUUUCGGUUCGUAAAGCUCUGUUGUUAGGGAAGAAUGAUUGUGUAGUAACUAUACACAGUAGAGACGGUACCUAACCAGAAAGCCACGGCUAACUACGUGCCAGCAGCCGCGGUAAUACGUAGGUGGCAAGCGUUGUCCGGAAUUAUUGGGCGUAAAGCGCGCGCAGGUGGUUUAAUAAGUCUGAUGUGAAAGCCCACGGCUCAACCGUGGAGGGUCAUUGGAAACUGUUAAACUUGAGUGCAUGAGAGAAAGGUGGAAUUCCUAGUGUAGCGGUGAAAUGCGUAGAGAUUAGGAGGAACACCAGUGGCGAAGGCGGCUUUUUGGCCUGUAACUGACGCUGAGGCGCGAAAGCGUGGGGAGCAAACAGGAUUAGAUACCCCUGUAGUC